CAGUAAUUCUGUUAACAGAAAGAUUAGUAAUUGCUGCCUAUUCUGCUGAAAUCCCUGUCAUUCUUGCUGUUUCCUCCAUCAGAAUUUAUGUUAAAUCACACAUUCUAUGAAGCUGUUAAGUUCUCUCUAGCUCCAAAGCUAGCCCUUCAGUUUAAUCAUCCAUCUUGGAGCAACUGUGACUGCCAAAGGGAAAUUUUACAGCAACUCAACCAUGACGUAUCUUCUGGUAACGUGGAGAUGGAACUUUACGCAGUUAGGAAAUUGCUUUGUAGAUGAGGACAAAAACUUUUAUGGAGACCUAAGAGACUGAAGACAUCUGGCCUGGACUACUCCGAUGGU
rnacentral:lncRNA from 1 species